rnacentral:rRNA from 1 species
AGUGAACGCUGGCGGUAGGCCUAACACAUGCAAGUCGAACGGCAGCACAGUAAGAGCUUGCUCUUACGGGUGGCGAGUGGCGGACGGGUGAGGAAUACAUCGGAAUCUACUUUUUCGUGGGGGAUAACGUAGGGAAACUUACGCUAAUACCGCAUACGACAUACGGGUGAAAGCAGGGGAUCUUCGGACCUUGCGCGAUUGAAUGAGCCGAUGUCGGAUUAGCUAGUUGGCGGGGUAAAGGCCCACCAAGGCGACGAUCCGUAGCUGGUCUGAGAGGAUGAUCAGCCACACUGGAGCUGAGACACGGUCCAGACUCCUACGGGAGGCAGCAGUGGGGAAUAUUGGACAAUGGGCGCAAGCCUGAUCCAGCCAUACCGCGUGGGUGAAGAAGGCCUUCGGGUUGUAAAGCCCUUUUGUUGGGAAAGAAAAGCAGCAGGUUAAUACCCCGCUGUUCUGACGGUACCCAAAGAAUAAGCACCGGCUAACUUCGU